UCAUAGUAAAUACGUAUUAUUCAAGAGAGACGUGUUUGUAUUUUAACAUCUGUUCAACAUUUAGCAUUGAUAAAAGAAUGUUUGCGAGCGGAUACUUAAGGUUAAUAAACCUACAGAUUUACAUCAUCAGUUCUGUUCAAUUCGGAUGUCUGUUUUCUCAAAUACCAAAGAUAACCAGUGUUUUAGGGGUUUUCGAGACGAAUCUUAUAUGUAGCAUUACUGGCUUGGAAACGGUACCGCUAAUUUUUUAUGAAGAGAGCAGAUUGGUAGUUCAGAUGAAGACACAAAGCGGGUAUUGUCAACACGAUCCACCAAACCUACCGAGUAACGUUAAAUGUUCUUGUCUGGGAAUUAAUGCUUCAUGUACAAUUUCCGUUGGUGCGUAUGGAGAUAAUUGUCCAAGAUGGAGAUGUGCAGUACCAAUCAAAGGUGUUUUACAAAACAGCGAUUUUGUGAACGUGUGCAAAAUUAAACACGAAAGUCUUACAACGAAUGUGGUCGACGCAGAUAAUUGCUCCAACAAUGUAUCUAAUCGACUGCAAUGGCCCAUUAAUGGAUUGAACAUUGAAUAUAAUAUGAUAUGGUCUAUAUUGAAGUCAUAUGAUACAGCCAAUUUGAGUUCCUUCUUGCAAAAAUACCGGACACAGACUCACGGGUCGAUUGCUGCAUGUAGAUUCGAAACGCAAGCGUAUGAAGGAAAGACCCUUGAUA